AUAUUUCCUCGCAUUCAAAUUCCUAAAUCAUUCCAAAACCAAUUAUUAGAGAAUUCAAUUUCACUGUUGUUUUCUGGAAACGAGAAACUGAGAUUGAGAUCAUAAAGAAGAAAAACAAAGUUAAGCAAAAAUUUAAUAAAAUAAAAAUAAGUGAGAAUCUACUUCUGCGAGUUUCUAGAACCCCGGCUAAAAAGUGGAUAGAAGAGGAUCCAGAGUAUCUCCACCAGCCAAUAAUUAGUACACAGUAGAGAACAACAAGAACGGUAUUAGAGAGAGAGAAAAAAUUUUCAGUAGCAUAACUACAAAUUAGUACACGUAGUAAGAGCAAUUAAGCAAACAGAUUUGGAGGAAAUGAACUAACCUCUCUUGCUUUGCCUCCAGAAU
rnacentral:misc_RNA from 1 species